UACAGAGGCCUCGAGCGUUAGGCGGAAUCACUGGGCUUAAAGCGUGUGUAGGUGGAUGCCUAAGUACCUUGUGAAAUCCCACAGCUUAACUGUGGAAUUGCUUGGUAUACUGGGUGUCUUGAGCCACUCAGGGGCUACCGGAACAAAUGGUGGAGCGGUGAAAUGCGUAGAUAUCAUUUGGAACGCCAAUGGUGAAAACAGGUAGCUGGGGGUGUGCUGACACUGAGACACGAAAGCCAGGGGAGCGAACAGG
rnacentral:rRNA from 1 species